UACGGAGGGUGCAAGCGUUAUCCGGAUUCACUGGGUUUAAAGGGUGCGUAGGCGGGCAGGUAAGUCCGUGGUGAAAUCUCUGAGCUUAACUCAGAAACUGCCAUGGAUACUAUUUGUCCUGAAUAUUGUGGAGGCAAGCGGAAUAUGUCAUGUAGCGGUGAAAUGCUUAGAUAUGACAUAGAACACCCAUUGCGAAGGCAGCUUGCUACACAAUGAUUGACGCUGAGGCACGAAAGCGUGGGGAUCAAACAGG
rnacentral:rRNA from 1 species